rnacentral:rRNA from 1 species
AGCGAACGCUGGCGGCAGGCUUAACACAUGCAAGUCGAGCGGGCACUUCGGUGUCAGCGGCAGACGGGUGAGUAACACGUGGGAACGUACCCUUUGGUUCGGAAUAACGCUGGGAAACUAGCGCUAAUACCGGAUACGCCCUUUUGGGGAAAGGCUUGCUGCCGAAGGAUCGGCCCGCGUCUGAUUAGCUAGUUGGUGGGGUAAUGGCCUACCAAGGCGACGAUCAGUAGCUGGUCUGAGAGGAUGAUCAGCCACACUGGGACUGAGACACGGCCCAGACUCCUACGGGAGGCAGCAGUGGGGAAUAUUGGACAAUGGGCGCAAGCCUGAUCCAGCCAUGCCGCGUGAGCGAUGAAGGCCUUAGGGUUGUAAAGCUCUUUUGUCCGGGACGAUAAUGACGGUACCGGAAGAAUAAGCCCCGGCUAACUUCGUG